AAAAAGAAUCACCAGAAAACAGACCCUAUGUAUUUCUGUAUCUCCUAUAUAGUAGAGAGGAUAAUCCUCAGAUGGUAGAAAUCCUGUCUCUCACCCGUCUAUCAAGAGAGGCUUAACUACAUGACAACUGCUGCAAAAAGAAGAGGGGAAGUUAAAAAACAAAACCCACACCCUAACUUCUGGGAGAGAAAAUUAUCUGGUGAACAUAUGUCUAAAUGCUGAACUUCACAGGCUCUUAAAUCUGAAGUGGCCUGAUUUGGCUACUCAUGCAUGUCAAGUAAAGUCCAACUUGUCCCAAUAAAUAGAGCUAAAAGGACAGGGGUCCUUUUAGCUGACCCUCAGGGAUCAGCUAUGUAACGCCAUAUGCAACAAAGCAGUGUGUACUUUUCACCUCUGCUGAUUUUGCUCUGAUUGUUAUCUUUGUGUGAGGGUUGAUCUUUGGCUAGUACUUGUUUGCUAGUACCAACAGGAGGUUUGAGGUCACAUAGCCUGAAACAGUGAGGGGCUUCAACUUGUAUCUCUCCAGGUAGAUGAGCUUUAGGGCUUUUUUUUAGGGCUUUAAUCAACACAACUGAAGUCAAGACACAUAAGCAACUUCAUUAACUUGGAGUGGAACAACUUACUAACUUACUGGUGAACACAUCAGUAGUCUAUUGAACUGAGGCUUGAUGAAGAUGUGAGCUGUUGAUAAAGUUCCCUGAAAAUUUCACUGGCAAAGAUGGGGAAGAUGAUACCCUUAAUCAAAGCAUCGCAAUAAUCUGCAGAACAAACACAAGUUAAUACUGAAAGUAGCAAAAUUAAAUCUAAAUUGUAACAGUUUGUUUGACAUGUACGAUACAGAAAAAGGAGAGAAGAAUAUCAUCAUUAAUGUAUUGCAAUGAAAAUGUUUUGUGAAAGUACUCAGAUUAGCUGACCUUUUUUUAUAAGCUGUCUUGUCAGACCCAUAAGUAAGAUGGAAAAUAUUUUUUGCUAAUUUUAUUAAAUUGAAGGGAAAAUAUCUAAUUUCAAUCUGAUCAGUUUUAGAGCAAGCAGAAAAUGUGUGAUAAAUGAAUGUGAAUGACCUGCCUGCAGGCAAAUGCACAAUUGACUGUAUCUUUCUUUGUACUUGCCAACAUUAAAACUCAAGUGACAACACAUUUCUGCUUUACAUAGCUGGUUAAAAAAUAUAUAUAUAUAUAUAUUUUAAAGUAGUUUUACAAAUGUUUGGAAGAAUGAGCAUUCUUUGGAAGCAUUUCAAAUGUUAAUAGUAGAGCUGUAGGAGAGCAGAAAGAGACAAAUAGAACAAAAGCAUUGCUCAGAUUUACAUAACUAAAUCUAACAGUGGCUUGUGUAUCACUUUCCUUUCUAGUCUGUGAUAAAUCGCAUGUGCAAUAUCUGCAUUUGUUGGCAGAUGAAAGAUGGAAGCACAGGGAGGUGUUUCUCAUUAAAUGGAACUGCCCUUAAUUUUUUUUUCUUCUAAUAACCAAAAAAGAAGGCAUCAGUUUACUGUACUUGGCUGUAUGUACUUAUUUAAAAUUUCCCUGAGUGUAUUAACAGUGUAGCACAGCACAUUCAGCUGAUAUAAUUUGUGGUGGGUAUGGGAGGGAGUGAAGACCUCAUACUUGGGUUUGGGAAUAUCUACCAUGGGAAAUCUCCUAUGAAAUAACUGUUACUUCAUGCAGUGUGGUCCAUUCCAGAUGCUAACCAUUUACCCUUCAGAUAUUUUUCAUGAGCCUUGCAGAUAAGAUAGCUCACUGGGAAUUGAUUUAGCUGUGUUCAGAAAACUAAGCCCUCACCAGAGAUGGGGAAAUCACCCCGCCUUUCUUUAAUUUGGUGGUAGAGCAUUAACGAAGGGAACGUUAGUCUCUGGAGCUUUCCCCCACCCUUUAAUACAUCAGAUUCAUAUUAGCAAUAUUUACUUUCUGAGAGGGUGACACAAUUUCAGCUGUUUUCAAUUUUUGCUUAUGGUACCCUAGAGAAAAAUGUAUAUACAAGUAACAAUUUUUCAUUUAUAUGUUUUAUUGCAGUGGAGCUGAUCACAAUAGCAUAGUAACAGUUGCUUUGCAGAUUUGGUUUUGACAGCAUUUGAUUCUUUGCCACAGUGGAGGUAGUUGGUCGUGUUAAGAACUGCCACAAAAGCAGAACAUAUACACAAAAACCAACAGAAGCUUUAAUUUUACUACUUAGGCUGGGAUUUACUUUUAAACAUUAGCUGUCUUUCUUUGAUUGCAAGAGUGCAGCUCAAUCAUAUAUUUUGUUUGUCUUUUGUUAACUUGACCGAACAGAUGCUAAGCUGGCCUUUCUGUUGUAAGGAUGGUUUAGCAUAUUGCCUGUAGCAGAAAUGCUGAGUCAUGGCCUGAAGUAGUGAUUGAGUAAUUGGUGGGAAGGCAGGGCCAGCCUAGGGGAUCUCAGGUGCAUGUAAUGCCCUUGAGUGACCAGAAGGAAUGGAGCCAGGAUUCAGCCCUUCCCAGACUUCAUUUAAGGGUUGGCAGUGGAGGCGAAGGUCUGUCACUGGAUAUCUCUGCAUACCUGAGGUCUUCUGAGGGGAUCAGAAUUCCAUUCCAUAUGACGAAAUGUGACUGCAGUUGGUGUCUUUACUAUGGAAAAAGUGUACUGGAAUCACCACUUAUGCUUUGUUGAAGAGAAGAAAAAGGACUGGGGAGAAGAGACUCUACCAUCUCUUGAAGUUCACAUUUGAUGGAGUUCUCCCUAGCAGAAGGCCUACACAAUGCCUAGAUAACACGUGGAGUCAAAACACGAAGAGAGGGAGGCAGGGCAGUACAUGAAUGUUGCUUAACCCCUACGAAGCAGAGAGUAAAAAUAUUUUUGUGGAUUUGAACUUGCUCUGUGUGUGUGUCUUGGAACAGUGUCAGAUGACUCUUUUUCAGGCAGCAGUUGUUAGUGUUGUCAGUGCCCUGCAGUAUCUUGUCUGUAAGCUUUUCUGAUCUGUUUGGGUGACUAUGGACCGGUUAGACUAAAACUGUGUCCUUUGAGCUGCAGGGGGUAUGUCUACUUCAGCGCUUCAUUUUGAAUCAGGAGCAGGCUUUGGAAGCCAAAUUCCUGGCCAUUCACCCCUGUGGCAUUUUGGUUUACAUGAAGCAAGUCUCAUAAGACAAAUAGAAUUCCCUCUGGGUGAAAUUAAACUGUGGCCUGGAAGUACACCUAAUGUGCUCCAGUGGGUUUGCAGUCCACGCUGGAAUUGGUUGGAAGUAAUUCACCCUAUUAUCAGAUGCUUGAGACAUAGCUUCUGUUCUGUUGACCCCUUUCUCUUGUACUGCACUAAUUGUUACUGGAGACAGGCAUACAGUCUGAUCAUGGGUUUUUUUUUUUUAAUGUGUUUAUUCAAAUCUGUUCUUAUGUCUUUCUUCUGGAAUUAAUUACUGUUCAUUAACAAAGUGAUUGGUGAGAAACAGGAUGAGGCAGAUGGUGACCAGCCAGUGUGCUUUAGCGUGAUGCCCUUCUCACCCUCAGUGACAGUAUUGCGGCUCACUCAUUAGGAGCAAUUUUCAGUGUAGUCAACUGUUCUGUUUCCGUUGACUCUUGAUAUAAAAAUAUAUCAUAAUCUAAUGCCUGAAAGAACAAGCAAAAAUGUGAUAGUGUGACAAGGAGAUCUGUGGCUUACAGAUCUUCCUGUCUGUCUAUAUAUGGACAUCAGCAUGUUUUCUAGAGGAGGUAAAUUUUAUCUGUCAAUGCUUUAAAAAAGUACGUUGCAUUUCAAUUUUUCUUUUUUUGUCUUUGUGGGUUUUUUGUUCUCUUUUUGGAAAGAGCAAAUUUAAAAAAAGUAUGGAAAAGCACUCAAUGUCUCUUAAUAAUCUUGGUCUCUUACACUUUGUGCCAGUUCAAUAUUUUAGAUAUGUUUUGUCUAGUUCAGGAAAGCACAGAUAUUUCAGUAUGGGCUUAGAAGCCUCUUGCAGGUCCAUAUUGCAGUGGUAGAUGUCUACCCUGUCACUGUGUGAAUACAUCAGAAAAAGAUGUUGGUGCAGAUGAAACUUCUGAUUUUUCAGGAUAAAACAUAUAUCCUUAAGAUGACAUUAAAAAGUGAAAAAUCUAAAUAGCAGUUUUAUUGGCUAUGUAAACUAGUGCUAAAAGUAUAACUUGCCCUUGAUUUCCUUAUUCUUUUCUUCUUUUGACUGUAUCUUUCAACAGCACUGAGUAUUUAAUUUUAUCUGUCUGAUAAACUUCAGUUGAACCAAUAGAUACAAUCUGGAUUGCUUAUAGUCAGCUUGUACAGAAGGUUCUCUGUCUUGAGAUAAAGCAGGAACAAUCCAGGCCCAGCUCUUAAGUGAUGUCCAUAUGAUAACCUUGGGAAGAUUUCUGAGAGGAUACUGGUUCUGAGAUAUUUAGUUUGUCCUUCAGCUCACUGUCACCUUGACAGUAGUUGACACUAGCAGUUAUGUGGAACAAAUCCUUCAGAAAUACUUAAGGGUUGUCAACAUUAAGUUGUGCAAGGGAGAUGUAGGUGGAUUACAGGAAGCAGGUGUGAAAGUUACCAAAACUUGUGUUUGGCCCCUUGGUGGGGAAUAUUCAUGGAACUACAGCUAGCUGGGGAUACUUUGGACUACUUGUGAACAGAUGUUUUGCAAGUCUUUGAGUUCAGAUCUGUUCUAUGACUGGUAUUAUUGGUUCAUAUAUUUUGUGGUGUUUUCAGCUGCUUUCAACCUAUCUAUUGAAAGACUGUCUUUCUCCACAAGCCCCAUUGUCACUACUACAGUCGAGAUGUUUGAAGUGAUACACGUUCCCCUAAAACUGCCCUGGAUGGCUGAUUUACUAAGUGGGUUCUCUUCUUUGGAACUCAGGCUUUCUCCCAGGUGCAGAACCUGCCCUACUAUCUGACUUUGCAAGCAUCUGAACGUUGAGAUAAGACUAUCCUUUCCUCCCGGAGCUUGGUAAAGGUGUUUUGUUCUCUAAUCUAAAGAGAAUUGUCCAAAAUUGAAGAGGUUAAAAUCACCUAUUGACUUCUGCCUAUUUGAUUGCUUUUUGGAUGAGGCUCUGAACAGACAAUGUGCCAUAUGGGAUCCAGCCAAAAAAAAGUAAUUGAACAG